AGUACUUACGAUUUCAUUAAGGAAAAC
rnacentral:piRNA from 1 species